rnacentral:rRNA from 1 species
AUACGGGGGGUGCAAGCGUUGUUCGGAAUUAUUGGGCGUAAAGCGCGUGCAGGCGGUCUUUUAAGUCUGAUGUGAAAGCCCCGGGCUCAACCUGGGAAGUGCAUUGGAAACUGGGAGACUUGAAUACGGGAGAGGGUAGUGGAAUUCCUAGUGUAGGAGUGAAAUCCGUAGAUAUUAGGAGGAACACCGGUGGCGAUGGCGGCUACCUGGACCGAUAUUGACGCUGAGACGCGAAAGCGUGGGGAGC